CAGUAGCCGCGGUAAUACGAAGGGUGCAAGCGUUACUCGGAAUUACUGGGCGUAAAGCGUGCGUAGGUGGUGGUUUAAGUCCGUUGUGAAAGCCCUGGGCUCAACCUGGGAAUUGCAGUGGAUACUGGGUCGCUAGAGUGUGGUAGAGGAUAGUGGAAUUUCCGGUAUAGCAGUGAAAUGCGUAGAGAUCGGAAGGAACAUCUGUGGCGAAGGCGACUAUCUGGGCCAACACUGACACUGAGGCACGAAAGCGUGGGGAGCAAACAGGAUUAGAUACCCCCGUAGUCCCUGUCUCUUAUAU
rnacentral:rRNA from 1 species